GAUGAACGCUGGCGGCGUGCCUAAUACAUGCGAGUCGAGCGAACAGACGAGGAGCUUGCUCCUCUGACGUUAGCGGCGGACGGGUGAGUAACACGUGGAUAACCUACCUAUAAGACUGGGAUAACUUCGGGAAACCGGAGCUAAUACCGGAUAAUAUAUUGAACCGCAUGGUUCAAUAGUGAAAGACGGUUUUGCUGUCACUUAUAGAUGGAUCCGCGCCGCAUUAGCUAGUUGGUAAGGUAACGGCUUACCAAGGCAACGAUGCGUAGCCGACCUGAGAGGGUGAUCGGCCACACUGGAACUGAGACACGGUCCAGACUCCUACGGGGGGCAGCAGUAGGGAAUCUUCCGCAAUGGGCGAAAGCCUGACGGAGCAACGCCGCGUGAGUGAUGAAGGUCUUCGGAUCGUAAAGCUCUGUUAUUAGGGAAGAACAAAUGUGUAAGUAACUAUGCACGUCUUGACGGUACCUAAUCAGAAAGCCACGGCUAACUACGUG
rnacentral:rRNA from 1 species